CACUAGCGCUCUGCGCGCGCCGCAGGCUGUAGCCGGCCGGGGUCGCAGCACGCCUCCCCGCUCCGCCCCCUCGCGCGCCGCCCGGCGCCCCGCGCACGCGCGCCGCCCCCUGCUCCUUCAGCGAGGGUCUGCGGGGAGCGCGCGUCCAACGCAGGUAAUGAUGAAACUCCUGCUCUGGUCCGGGCUACCGGUGAACAGCGCCCAGCGGGCCGGGCCCCCAACCUCGCUCCUGAGCCUGAACAUCCCCCCAACCCCACCGUGAGAAUUCAGCGAAGAGUAAAAGCUGGAAAAAGUUGCGUGUCUUAGGCUAAGCAGAACAAAGUGGGGUGACGGCUCCCCGGCUAGGAACAGAGAUGCCCUUAGGGAGCCCUCUGAUGGAAGAGCUCUCCGCUUAAGAAGGUCACCACUCCCUUACACUCAGCCCCCCUCAAUCUGAUUCCCUGCUAUGCCUGCCAUCACCACUGGCCAGUUUUACCACAUGCUUCUCAAGACCCAAGGCACAAUAGGCAUAAAGUUGUCCUGAAAAGGACAAGAGGAGUGUCAGAAGUAGGAAUGGCAGUUGAAGGAGCUUCGUCUGCCAGCAGAAAGCUGAAAUGACAGGAAGACAGAAUGUCUUGUCAAGGGUCACCCCAGGAGGAGGAGUAAAUUCCCCAAAAAGCGGAACAUAUUUUUAUGAUUUAAUUAAUACAAUUUCUCUCAAUG
rnacentral:lncRNA from 1 species